rnacentral:rRNA from 1 species
AGAGUUUGAUCAUGGCUCAGAACGAACGCUGGCGGCGUGCUUAAUACAUGCAAGUCGUGCGUGAAAGAGGAGCAAUCCUCGAGUAAAGCGGCAAACGGGUGAGUAACACGUAAGUAAUCUACCUCCAAAUCCGGGAUAACCUUGCCAACGCGGGGCUAAUACCGGAUGUGGUCCCAUGGUUCAUGAUCGUGGGAUUAAAGAUGACCUCUAUUUAUAAGUUAUCGCUUGGAGAUGAGCUUGCGGCCCAUUAGCUAGUUGGCGGGGUAAUAGCCCACCAAGGCUGUGAUGGGUAGCCGGCCUGAGAGGGUGUACGGCCACAUUGGGACUGAGAUACGGCCCAGACUCCUUCGGGAGGCAGCAGUAGGGAAUUUUGCGCAAUGGACGAAAGUCUGACGCAGCAACGCCGCGUGAGUGAUGAAGGUCUUCGGAUUGUAAAGCUCUGUUGAGUGGGAAGAAAAGUUACAGGUCUAAUAUAUCUGUAGCCUGACGGUACCAUUUGAGGAAGCCCCGGCUAACUACGUGCCAGCAGCCGCGGUAAUACGUAGGGGGCGAGCGUUGUUCGGAAUUACUGGGCGUAAAGGGAGCGUAGGCGGGUCAGUAAGUUAGAAGUUUAAUGCACAGGCUUAACCUGUGACUUGCUUUUAAUACUGCUAAUCUUGAGUAUGGAAGAGGGAGAUGGAAUUCCAGGUGUAGCGGUGGAAUGCGUAGAUAUCUGGAAGAACACCAUUAGCGAAGGCGGUCUCCUGGUCCAAUACUGACGCUGAGGCUCGAAAGCUAGGGGAGCAAACAGGAUUAGAUACCCUAGUAGUCC